GACGAACCGAGCGAACGUUGUUCGGAAUCACUGGGCUUAAAGGGCGCGUAGGCGGGCGGCCGCGUCCGGGGUGAAAUCCUCCCGCUUCACGGGAGAACGGCCUCGGAUACGGGCGGCCUCGAGGGGGGUAGGGGCGUGCGGAACUGUGGGUGGAGCGGUGAAAUGCGUUGAGAUCCACAGGAACUCCGGUGGCGAAGGCGGCACGCUGGACCCCACCUGACGCUGAGGCGCGAAAGCCAGGGGAGCGAACAGG
rnacentral:rRNA from 1 species